GAUUCAUGAGAAGAUAUUUAAGUGGCUUCAUAAACAUUCAUAAUCUUUAGAAAUAAAUUAGUGAAUCUUUAG